GCUACCAUGCAGUCGACGGUAACAGGCAGAAGCUUGCUUCUGUGCUGACGAGAAGAGGACGGGUGAGUAACGCAUAGGAAUCUGCCCAGUAGUGGGGGACAACUUGGGGAAACCCAAGCUAAUACCGCAUACGCCCUACGGGGGAAAGCAGGGGAUCUUCGGACCUUGCGCUAUUGGAUGAGCCUAUGUCUGAUUAGCUAGUUGGUGAGGUAAUGGCUCACCAAGGCGACGAUCAGUAGCUGGUCUGAGAGGAUGAUCAGCCACACUGGGACUGAGACACGGCCCAGACUCCUACGGGAGGCAGCAGUGGGGAAUAUUGGACAAUGGGGGCAACCCUGAUCCAGCAAUGCCGCGUGUGUGAAGAAGGCCUGCGGGUUGUAAAGCACUUUCUGUUGGGAAGAAAAGCUUCGUGUUAAUAGCGCGGAGUCUUGACGUUACCAUCAGAAGAAGCACCGGCUAACUCUGUGCCAGCAGCCGCGGUAAUACAGAGGGUGCGAGCGUUAAUCGGAAUUACUGGGCGUAAAGCGCGCGUAGGCGGUUUGGUCAGUCGGAUGUGAAAGCCCCGGGCUCAACCUGGGAAUGGCAUUCGAUACUGCCAGGCUAGAGUAUGGGAGAGGGAAGUGGAAUUUCCGGUGUAGCGGUGAAAUGCGUAGAUAUCGGAAAGAACACCAGUGGCGAAGGCGAC
rnacentral:rRNA from 1 species